AACGAACGCUGGCGGCAUGCCUAACACAUGCAAGUCGAACGAGACCUUCGGGUCUAGUGGCGCACGGGUGCGUAACGCGUGGGAACCUGCCCUUAGGUUCGGAAUAACUCCCCGAAAGGGGUGCUAAUACCGGAUAAUGUCUUCGGACCAAAGAUUUAUCGCCUUUGGAUGGGCCCGCGUUGGAUUAGCUAGUUGGUAGGGUAAAAGCCUACCAAGGCGACGAUCCAUAGCUGGUCUGAGAGGAUGAUCAGCCACACUGGGACUGAGACACGGCCCAGACUCUUACGGGAGGCAGCAGUGGGGAAUAUUGGACAAUGGGCGAAAGCAUGAUCCAGCAAUGCCGCGUGAGUGAUGAAGGCCGUAGGGUUGUAAAGCUCUUUUACCCGGGACGAUAAUGACAGUACCGGGAGAAUAAGCUCCGGCUAACUCCGUG
rnacentral:rRNA from 1 species